AUUGAACGCUGGCGGCAUGCUUUACACAUGCAAGUCGAGCGGCAGCGCGGGGGCAACCCUGGCGGCGAGCGGCGAACGGGUGAGUAAUGCAUCGGAACGUGUCCGGGAGUGGGGGAUAACGCCGCGAAAGCGGCGCUAAUACCGCAUAUGCUCUCUGGAGGAAAGCGGGGGACCCUGAGGGAAACUGAGGGGCCUCGCGCUCGCGGAGCGGCCGAUGUCCGAUUAGCUGGUUGGUGAGGUAAUGGCUUACCAAGGCGACGAUCGGUAGCUGGUAUGAGAGGAUGAUCAGCCACGCUGGGACUUAGACACGGCCCAGACUCCUACGGGAGGCAGCAGUGGGGAAUUUUGGACAAUGGGGGCAACCCUGAUCCAGCCAUGCCGCGUGCGGGAAGAAGGCCUUCGGGUUGUAAACCGCUUUUGGCCGGGAAGAAAAGGCUGAGGUUAAUACCUUCGGUUUUUGACGGUACCGGCAGAAUCAGCACCGGCUAACUACGUGCCAGCCGCCGCCGUAAGAC
rnacentral:rRNA from 1 species